GUCAACUCCAUCAAAGUUUUGUGUCGGUCUUCUAACCGGUAAGUUAGAGAAUUUUACUCUGAUUUGGAGGUCUGCUAUUUGACAUUUACGUGUUUAUUGGCUAUGGCCUGAAUUUGCUAUGUUAUUUUUUCAACAACGUGGAUACACGAAUGACAAACGUUUGCGGGCAAAGAAGAUAAACCUACUUGUUGAAUGAAAACUUUCGCUCGUUUGAGACAGUUUAAACAAUAAUUACAAUGGACCACGAAGAGGAAUUUUUAAGCAAUUUUUUCACCCUAGUAUCACAGCUAUGUUUUGACAAGGCUAAGGAAUCAGUGGAGAAAGAAAAGGAAUCAUGUCGAUCUAUGCAGAUGGGUGCGUGGGGUAUGCUGCUUGCAGAUUUGCCACAAAUUGCUGUUGCGGAGAGAUCAUAUGCAGACUUGGGCUUCUUUCACACAAAGAAUAAAGGCUUUUUGAGAAAAGACAAUUCUCUUCGUGCAAUAUAUGAAUCAUCCAGAACAGAUCUUCGGAGGCUAGAAGAAAGUACACGAGGAACUUACGCAAUCGAAGCAACUGUCGCAGAGGUCUCUGGUCAACUAUGCCAGUUUGUUACUGCGAGAAUACAACUCAUAGAUUUCUACGAGAAGAUGUACAGUAUGGGGAUAAACAGCAAAGCGAUAAAAUAUCAAGAACUCUUGCAAGUCAUGACUGGAAUUGUGGACAUCCAUUCAUUGUCCUGUUCCCAUUUGUCACUAAUCGCCAUCAAGACUGCCUUAACUCUAGAAUGUGAAAUACUGCUUGAGCUAUUAAACGCCCAAAUCGAGGUUCAGAAUUGGAGGUUCUUACCAUCCCUGAUGGCUUUGUAUGGUGCCCAAACUCGAAUGUCUGCGUGGGAAAGAACUCUGCAGAGUAAAGAGUCAUGGAAAUUGGGCUUUGGGGCUACAUUUUUGAAAGCCAAUCAGCAGCCUGCGUUGUACCAAUGGCUUGUGAAGCUGAAAAAUAGCAUACUAGCCAAAUGCUCCCUUUACUUUCACUCGACAUUAACACAGCAGGCUAGUCCAGGCGAAAUGAGGAGCAUCAUGAGCAAACAGAGCGUCGAUUAUUAUCACAAAAUACAAACCUUUCAAAGAAAAUAUGAUCUUAUCGCAGUUCUAAUAGUAUUUGAUGCUAGAGGUGUAAAUAUGCCCGGUCCUGGAUACACCCAUCCUAAGCGAGAGAACGAUAAUACUGAAGAAUUCGCCAUCAUGGUCAGCUGCCCCAGUGUUUACAUGCAAAAGCCUUGUAUGCACUGGAACAGCAUAAGUAAAGCUAUGAACGAACGGCAUGCCGACCUCCUCUCUAUGGAUAAGAUCAUCUAUACUAAAAGUCUGAAGGAUCUCUGCACUUAUGCGAUGAACAACAUCGAUCCACGCACAACUUUAGUAGUCGUAUUCGACACAAACAAACAUCGUGACAAGGAUGCUCAUGUGGUAACUUUUAUGCAUGAAUUGUGCGCCCAGCUCAGAUGUAGCAAGGUUUAUGAGAGCCUGAAACUAUCUAAGUGAAAAAAGUAACCGCAGAGGAGCAAAAACUGAUCGUGUUUGAAUUUCAGUAUCGUUCACUAUCUUGGUACUUUUUAGUUAUUCGCAUAUUUUUGAUGGGCCUUUGUGGUCAGAUGCACAUACGAAAAUCAGCUGUAACUCAUAUUCCAAUCUUAAUAUCUACUGGAUUAAUGAUUCUAGUUUUGUACAGGAAGCAUAAAUGAUCGCCGGUAAAGAUCACUGCGCAUAUAUUAUUCUUUAUACGUGAACGUAAUUUAAAAUAUGUUCAACUAUACUACUGUCGAUGACUCGUAGAUACGAGUAGAGGUCAGAAGUACAUAUGUAUAAACAAACAACGUAUUCCUCCAAAGAUUACGUAUUUUAUUUCUAUAUCAAUUCCCUUGUUGCCAAGUGGCUCCAAAGUCCAUAAUUACAAGUUUAUUUUACCUACGACUAAUAACCAGCUGAUCUGGGCGCUAUAAAAUUCUCUGCACAUAACGUCAUCUCAUUGUGUGCGGUAGACUACCUUGUCACAAACUCUAUGUAGAGCACGAUAGAUGUAGACUACUGAGACAAAAAAAUGGCUUCGUUCGAGCGCAUCAAAAUAAAUCUGAAUUCCAAAGGUUCACCAAAAGGUCGGGCUGCUGAUAAAAAAUAUUUUCAUUCAGAAAUAAAUAUUCUUAAAAUCAUUAAAAUUCAAUGGGAGUGUCCAGCGGCACGGAAAGCCCUCCGGGUUUCACGUGAUUCCCCCACUGAUUCCCGCUGAAACUUGAACGGAGUGGUCAAUUCCGUAUAAAAUUCUCGUCCGGAGGUACAGGGCCACCAGUCGCACGGUUCGAGUCGAAGGCUGAUGAAAUAAUAUCGUACUGCAACUACACAAUGAAAACUUUUAUUUUUCUGCUCGUGGCCGUAAUUGCGGCUGUCCAGGCCACGGUUUCGAUUCCCGCUGGGUUAGAUCCCGAAGAAUGGAAUAAUUACAAGGCAACUUAUAACAAAUCGUACGCGGACGAUGCGGAGGAAGAAAUGAGAAUAGGACUCUACCUCAAAUCGAAGGAAAAAGUUGCAAAACAUAAUGCGGACUUCGAGAAGGGUCUCCACUCCUAUACGCUUGGUAUAAAUCAGUUCUCAGACCAGACUGCUGACGAAUUUCGGAAUACUUUGAAUCCACACUUGGGUCUUGCGAGCCGAGCCAAAGGUAAAGCUGCUGCUCAGCAAGCGCCAUGAAACCAACGAUAAAACUACCAACGCACAACAAUUUUUACUCAUAUCACAUGUUACAGAAUAUUCUACUUCAUCUGUUAUCAAUAUUUGUUACUUCAAUUUAAUGUUUUUUAAAUCUUCUUAUUUUUAAGAAA
rnacentral:misc_RNA from 1 species